rnacentral:rRNA from 1 species
GACGAACGCUGGCGGCGUGCCUAACACAUGCAAGUCGAACGGAGUCAAAAAGCUUGCUUUUUGACUUAGUGGCGGACGGGUGAGUAACGCGUGAGUAACCUGCCUCUGAGAGGGGAAUAACGUUCUGAAAAGAACGCUAAUACCGCAUAACGUAUCGAAGCCGCAUGACUUUGAUACCAAAGAUUUUAUCGCUCGGAGAUGGACUCGCGUCCGAUUAGUUAGUUGGUGAGGUAACGGCUCACCAAGACCGCGAUCGGUAGCCGGACUGAGAGGUUGAUCGGCCACAUUGGGACUGAGACACGGCCCAGACUCCUACGGGAGGCAGCAGUGGGGGAUAUUGCGCAAUGGGGGCAACCCUGACGCAGCAACGCCGCGUGAAGGAUGAAGGUUUUCGGAUUGUAAACUUCUUUUAUCAGGGACGAAGCUUGACGGUACCUGAUGAAUAAGCUCCGGCUAACUACGUGCCAGCCGCCGCGGUAAGAC